UUGAUGCAAAUGAUCAGACAGAAGUUUUAUGGGUAAUUUGUGUCUGAGGCAUCUCUGUGAUGUUACACUCUUUUCACCUUGGAGCUCUGAUGCAUCCU
rfam:Triticum urartu cultivar G1812 contig815233, whole genome shotgun sequence.